GACGAACGCUGGCGGCGUGCUUAACACAUGCAAGUCGAACGGAAAGGCCCUGCUUUCGUGGGGUGCUCGAGUGACGAACGGGUGAGUAACACGUGAGUAACCUGCCCUUGACUUUGGGAUAACUUCAGGAAACUGGGGCUAAUACCGGAUAGGAGCUCCUGCUGCAUGGUGGGGGUUGGAAAGUUUCGGCGGUUGGGGAUGGACUCGCGGCUUAUCAGCUUGUUGGUGGGGCAGUGGCUUACCAAGGCUUUGACGGGUAGCCGGCCUGAGAGGGUGACCGGCCACAUUGGGACUGAGAUACGGCCCAGACUCCUACGGGAGGCAGCAGUGGAGAGUAUUGCACAGUGGGCGGAAGCCUGAUGCAGCAACGCCGCGUGCGGGAUGACGGCCUUCGGGUUGUAAACCGCUUUCGCCUGUGACGAAGCGUGAGUGACGGUAAUGGGUAAAGAAGCACCGGCUAACUACGUG
rnacentral:rRNA from 1 species